GUGCUCACUUUGGCAGCACAUAUACUAAAAUUGGAAUGAUACAGAGAAGAUUAGCAUGGCCCCUGUGCAAGGAUGACAUGCAAAUUCACGAAGCAUUCCAUAUUUAA
ensembl:snRNA U6 U6 spliceosomal RNA